AACGCACGAGACCUGCGGACCUGCGGAAGGAUCAUCAUUGAAUCUAAUAUAAUUUCAAGCUUUGAGGGGGAGAGAGAAGGAAGGAAAGGGGGAUUUCUCUUUCUUGCUUCUCUUUUUCUUUUGGCUUGCAAACAACUUUUGAUACCCAAACAGAAUUUCGCCUCUCUCUGUCUUUUGAGCUCUCCAGUUCAUUUUUAUUUGGGCUGGUGGUUGGUCGCUGGGAAGAGAAAAGUGAAAAGG
rnacentral:misc_RNA from 1 species